GAUGAACGCUGGCGGCGUGCCUAAUACAUGCAAGUCGAGCGAACAGAUGAGGAGCUUGCUCCUCUGACGUUAGCGGCGGACGGGUGAGUAACACGUGGAUAACCUACCUAUAAGACUGGGAUAACUUCGGGAAACCGGAGCUAAUACCGGAUAAUAUAUUGAACCGCAUGGUUCAAUAGUGAAAGACGGUUUUGCUGUCACUUAUAGAUGGAUCCCCGCCGCAUUAGCUAGUUGGUAAGGUAACGGCUUACCAAGGCAACGAUGCGUAGCCGACCUGAGAGGGUGAUCGGCCACACUGGAACUGAGACACGGUCCAGACUCCUACGGGAGGCAGCAGUAGGGAAUCUUCCGCAAUGGGCGAAAGCCUGACGGAGCAACGCCGCGUGAGUGAUGAAGGUCUUCGGAUCGUAAAACUCUGUUAUUAGGGAAGAACAAAUGUGUAAGUAACUAUGCACGUCUUGACGGUACCUAAUCAGAAAGCCACGGCUAACUACGUG
rnacentral:rRNA from 1 species